rnacentral:rRNA from 1 species
UCCUACGGGGGGCAGCAGUGAGGAAUUUUCGGCAAUGGGGGCAACCCUGACCGAGCAACGCCGCGUGCAGGAAGAAGGUUUUCGGAUCGUAAACUGCUUUUCUUGGGGACGAGCAAGGACGGUACCCAAGGAAUCAGCCCCGGCUAACUACGUGCCAGCAGCCGCGGUAAUACGUAGGGGGCGAGCGUUAUCCGGAGUUACUGGGCGUAAAGGGCACGCAGGCGGUCGUGUAAGUUUGGGGUUACAGCUCCCGGCUCAACUGGGAGAGCGCCUUGAAGACUGCAGGACUUGAGGGCCACAGAGGGACACAGAAUUCCGGGUGUAGUGGUGAAAUGCGUAGAUAUCCGGAGGAAUACCAAAGGCGAAGGCAGUGUCCUGGGUGGCACCUGACGCUCAGGUGCGAAAGCUAGGGGAGCGAACGGGAUUAGAUACCCCUGUA